AUUGAACGCUGGCGGCAGGCCUAACACAUGCAAGUCGAACGGUAACAGGAAACAGCUUGCUGUUUCGCUGACGAGUGGCGGACGGGUGAGUAAUGUCUGGGAAACUGCCUGAUGGAGGGGGAUAACUACUGGAAACGGUAGCUAAUACCGCAUAACGUCGCAAGACCAAAGAGGGGGACCCUCGGGCCUCUUGCCAUCGGAUGUGCCCAGAUGGGAUUAGCUUGUUGGUGGGGUAACGGCUCACCAAGGCGACGAUCCCUAGCUGGUCUGAGAGGAUGACCAGCCACACUGGAACUGAGACGCGGUCCAGACUCCUACGGGAGGCAGCAGUGGGGAAUAUUGCACAAUGGGCGCAAGCCUGAUGCAGCCAUGCCGCGUGUAUGAAGAAGGCCUUCGGGUUGUAAAGUACUUUCAGCGGGGAGGAAGGGAGUAAAGUUAAUACCUUUGCUCAUUGACGUUACCCGCAGAAGAAGCACCGGCUAACUCCGUG
rnacentral:rRNA from 1 species